UUUGUUCACUGUAACGAUACAAAGUAGAUAAAAUGUCAGUAUCAAAUAUUGUGUUGUGACCUUAAAUGUAGUUUUCAACAUUUUAUAAUGUUGAGGCUGAGCGUUUGCCAACCAACGAUCCGUGUGCUACGGUGAAGCUAACGCUAGCUAGCCAGCCUACUCGGCUAUAACCAAUACUAGUUUGCUAAUAUAAGUUAGCUAGUGAGAUAGUUGGCUAACGAUAGCUUGGAUGUGUUUUUCGGUAAGGGACGUCUGAGCCCAGAGCUAUAGCAUACCUUAGCGUUAGCUUCUCGUGUGGACUGGAUUAUAACACCGUUAACAUUCCUGAAAAAAUGCUGUACUGUAGCACAAAAACUAACAUAAAAGCAAGUUUCGACCUGAAAGUGUAACGAUUAUGUGGGUCUUGUGACAAUUCAUACCCAGCCUGCAAGCGAUGCAGAAGGGGGUGACCUGAAAACUAACUAUAAGGCGUCGUCCCCAACCCAGACAUUGCCUUGGAAGCCUUUUCCUAGACAUGCUAUAGCUGCCAUAACGAACCUUCCCCUUACUAGUUAUGGAGUUGAUUCUGAGUGCGGUUAACCUAAAUACCUACACGGUAAAACAACCAUAGUUUAUGCAAGCUUCAGCGUCCUCCCAACUUUCCAAGUAUACUGUCAAUCCGUUUAUUCUUGAUGUGUUAAUUCCCAAAACUAGAUGCUUGCUUGCUUAAUCAAAGAAAUGAACUAAAAGCUGAAAUGUAUUUUGUUCAGGUUUUCCUUUUCAAAAUGUACUAUAUAGCACACACCAGCUGAGGGGCUGGAUGUUUAAAUUCAUGACAGUUUGUUGCCAAUGUAACUUUUUAAACUUUAAACAAUCAUUAGCAAGAUACCAAACGUUUUGUUGUAGUUACCCGUGGCCUUUCAACCAGACAACCAAAACAACUUGUUUUAUUAUUGCUAUUGUUCUUCUCCCUCCAAUCCCCCUCAAAGGGGAAUCUCAUGAAAAAAUAAUUGGAGUCAGGUAGUUAACUUGUCAUCUUACAAAUCUGACUUGAUUGUAAGAUGACCACUUUGAUCACAGAGCACAGAUCUCUCAUUCAUAUUGGUUUCGACCAAACAUGUUGCCUGAUCUGUAAUUGACAAACAUAAAUUCGGACAGUAGUAGAAUACGAUAAAAAUAUGUCUACCUGUCAAAUUAAUAAUAGGCAGACUGGCCGCUGUAGAAAAUAAAUAUGUUAAUUGAUGUUCUGAACGCUUCAUCCACGUCCGCAAAUAAUUUUUUGUCUGUGGAAUAUCUUGAAUGAAACCGGAAACAAAGUGUAACUCCUCCUCCUGCAGUUUUUUGGUUUCCGGCCCAGAAUCUGACGUCUCCCCCAGGAAGUUCUGCUAUAACAUAGAUGAACUGAUGGAUCCUCAUCAGAGAUCAAUUGAUGAGUUGAAGACUUUAACAGGCACUGACCAAUUUAUUGUAACUUACCAAUAUGGAAGAAUUUGAAAUUGUGUUAGUGCGUUUAUGGAUAGAUCGAUAAUGUUACAUGUGAUUUCUAGAAAAUGCGAUGACUUGAAACAGGUGCUGGCCAUUUUAUAGUAACUGACCGAUAUUGAAGAAUGAUUGAAAAAUGUUUCAGGAAAGUGGUUGGGUGUUUAUGUAUAUAUGGAUUGGAUUGGAUGGAUACAUUUUUUACUAUAUAUUUUCUUUAACCAGCUUUUUGCCCAUCAGCCGAGCCAAACACAGCCUAGAGAGUGGGAGAUCCCCCAAUACCUUAUCCCCGUCCCUGGGUCAUAGGCUUGAAGUGUUGGAUAGUGGGGGAUCUUUAGCACAUCAUCCUGGUUGGUACAGAUCAGUUCAAUGUGCAUUGAUUGGGAAACAUGCUGUGUAUGUGAUAAGGCCCAGGGAGUAUUGUAUUCUAUAUACACUCUGAUAGAUUACACUCUUUAAGUCCAAUAUGUUGUGUCAAUAUUAAAUGGCAUUAUUGGAACAUAUGCAUCCAUAGCCUUGAGCUCAUAAAUGAUAGUUCAUCAAUGAGCUGAUAAUCAUUACGAUAAACAGGGGAUGCCCCUAAACUGUGUGGGGCUCUGGGAAAAGGAGGGAACGCUAAGAGUUUAUUUGCAGCCUGAAACGUAAUGUUCUAGAGGGAAGGGUCAAGAUAAAUUGUACACAGGGUAGUUAUAGUUCUGCUCCGUCUGCUGUUUGGACAGUGUCAGCUAGCUUAGUGCUGCUUGCAAUGCUCACACCUGGAUGUGUCCCUAGAAAGUCUAGAUAUGUAUGCAGAUGGCAGAAUAAAGCCAUAAAUUGUCACAUGCUAGCAUUUGCUACUUAUUGAGAAGACUACUCGGUCAAAGUUGUGACUUUUGAGUUGCAUGUGAGGAUGUGUCUCAUAGCCUGAGACCCGGAUGUAGAUUCGGUCACUAUUGUCUUUUUCUCAAAAUCUUUGUGUUUUUGUUUUCUAAUAAACUCACUGACCCAUACAUGUUAAAACAUUUUGGCAUUCUCAAUGUUUGCUAAAAUAGCCAUGGCAGUCUGGGCUCCUACAGUAGAGGUUUUUUUUUUGUACAACUGUGUGUAAAAGUCUGUUGGUAGUAAAUCAUUAAUGCCAAAUAUUAGCUAGGUUUGCACUUUACCAUAAUUUGUCGUCUCUGAGCAGGGACACGGGUACACACAAAAAACAUCUGUUAUGGACUAAGAGCUUUCAUUAAUAUGCAUCAUGUUCUUGACCUCUUUCAGUAAAGAUUAAUCCUCACUAUCAAUUCAUAUUCCGCCACGCCUCCUAGAAACCAUUCACCAAAGAAACUGAACACAAUAUACAUCCCGUGACUAAAACAAAAACGGAAUCCUGGGCGGGACCUCAAUCACUCCCGUCUAUCUCUCCCUCCAUGUUUCUGCUAGACGUGAGGUUUGCGUUAACUUCCACAAAAACCAAAGCACCUCUCUCGCAGCUGGUCAGAGUGCUCAUCUUUACAUUCAUUAUUCAAAGGACUAUCAUGCCAUGGCAGCUCUAUAUUUAAUGCAGUCCCCUCUGCCUCAACUUGUUGAAAAAGAUUGAAGAAGAGUGAUGCUGAGGAGCUGCAAUGGCAACAGCAUCCUGCGGUGACUUGCACUACUAAUGUUGUCCAACGUUAGGACAUGAACGUUUAUGAGGAGGCAGGUUCAGAGAUGGGACUGUGUAUUAUAUCCACUAUUUCUUAAAUGAAUGCUGUUGGUAGGACGUGGGAAAGUGAUUUUUUAGUCUUUGUAUUAUUCCGUUUUUAUUGUCUAGGGCCGGCCAGGAUAAAGGUUGUGACCUCACUUGUAUAACUCUUGAUUGAUUUGGAGAGAACCUUGGAGCUUAGUGCAUGAGCUAUUAGUCUUGGUCAUUUAAAAAAAAAAUCCCACUAUCAUUUCAGAAUUACAGUCAUGAUUCCUGUCAGUAAUAAAAAGAAAGCCGGCAGAUAGUGCAUUACCAAUUUGCUUAAUACAGAUUACAAAUAGGGCAACUGAUAAAGAAAAUGCCUUCAAACCAUUGAAUGUGUUCAGUUUAUAACUUUUUGUUUCAGUCAGCAGGCACCAUUCAAAGUGCCUACACUGUGGCAUUAACGUAAAUGGAUUCUGCUGGUGAACUAGAUGCUAUCGGGCAAAGCGACUAUAGCGUCUUGUUGUAACAGGCGGAUGGACUAUGGGCGAACAUUAGGGUGUGCUGCCACUACUGUCCAUGCCGUCACACCACAGGCUCUGACAAGCUGCUUGGCAAGGGCCCGCCUCUCUGCUCCUCCACCACCAACCCCAACCCUCAGUGACGCGUGUCAGAUCAUUCCCAAUCCUCCACAUUUGUGGGCAACACACCAAACUCCCAGACAUGUCGAGCUACUGUAUGGCGCUAACUGGAACUGUCGCUCACUGUUAAAUCCGGAGCACGGAUCAUACCUGCCACAAGGUCGAACAUAAGUGCAGACAGGGAUCCUGUUUCACUGCUCAAAAACACACCCUUUUCUUUCUUCCUUCCUUCCCUUCCUAUGCAGUCAUCUCUGAAGUGCCUUGCCUGCCGCCUUUUGCUAUAAUCCACGUAAUUACCUCACGACGCCCUCGUCUUAACACAGUGGCUGCUGCAUGAUGAAGCUAUUGGAAUGGGGCUGCUGGAGGCCGCGUCAGAGUUCAAGGGUGCAGAGCCUAGCUCGGGCCCAGAUCGAGCCGGCGAGUGGGUUUUCUCCCCAGAGGCGGCAGGGUGAAGUGCUGUGGGAAGAAUCAGGCGCUUAUUACCAGCUGCAGGGCUGUGACUGUCGAGGAGCUGCUGUUGCUGCUGAGGUCACUGUCACUGGGAUGAAAUGAGAAGCGCUUGUUGCUGUUGUUUAGAGCCUCCUUCCCCCCGGGGACAUUGUUAAAAAAAAAAGCCUGCCACCACUGGUCCACACAAGACAACAAGAAGAGUUUGAAAAGAGUUUGAAUUUCCCCAAAAUAAUUAUGUGGUAAAACAUCCAUGACAGUGCUGCAUGCCUGAGUUUCUUCAAAGUGGGUUUUAGUUCAUGCCCUUAAAAGUCCCACAAUUGUGGAUCAGAGGGUUUCUAUUGCAACCAGCGAGAAUCAGAAAGUUGUUG